UUUUUUCCUUUUUUUUUUUUUUUUUUUUUUUUUCAUUGAACAACAGCAUUUGAUUAAGAAGCAAAUGGAAACAUGGCUGUCCCUCUUUCUUAUCUCAUUUGGGCUCUAACUACAUUUAAAUUAAUGACAAUGUCCAAAUUGGCUGUGGUAGCGUAGCACCAGCCGCUCACUGAAAGGGAUGAAUGUGAGAUCAGCACUUCAGAAAAGGAAAAUCAGCACAUCCAUCAUGCGUUAGACCCUCAGCAUUCAGCAUAACAACAGAAAAUAUUUAUGCAAUAAAUAUCACUAAAGUUUUGCUUUGAUAUAUCUAAAGAUUGCUUGAAAACAGCUAAUUAGUUCUGCAUUUCUCAGACCGUGAGGCACAGUGCUCUGGCUAUGCACUGGUAACGAGGGACGAGGCAUUCUCCACCUCAGACUUGGAUGACAUACAUUAUGAUGAAACUUGGAGAUCCUUAACUGAGCCAGCCCUUGUGGGAAAUGAAGCAUGACUAAAAGGGUCAGAAGGCACUGAGUUUUCUCACUUGAGACAAUCUAUUAAUGUUUAUAAUCCACUACAUAAAAUAUGAGAAAUAAUGUUGCUAAGGACAGAAGUACAAGGUUUGCCCUCUGCCAGAAUCCCAGUUUCUCUAAAUGAGCAGCUAUCUGUGCAAGAACAACUUAAAGUGACAGGAAAAAAAUGACCCACCAGUCCUGGGGAAAGAACUCCAUCGCUCUGAAGGGUCAGAGGGAUACGUGAGCCCUGCAAGCACUGCUAGCAGGCUGGAGGAGGACAACGAGGACCCUCAAGGAGUGUGUGAUGCGGGCAUGAGGAAGCAGCGUGGAGUAUGGCAUAGUUUGAGGUGAAGAGAGGCCUGCUUGCUCUGCAGUGCA
rnacentral:lncRNA from 1 species